UCAAAUACUACAAAAUCCCACAAGCCCCUAAAAUCCAAAUCUUCCCUCAAAACUAAGCGCACAAGUGUAGGUAUUGACGCCCCCAUUGUCAAGGACUUCUCUUGAUACAGCAGUUUUUCGGCACUGGCUAGCAAACGAAGGUGAAGAGGCUGCAAUACCAGAACAUGCUCCGGUAGAAGGCUCUGUUAUGCGGACAAAUGCAAGAGUUAUCACCACCACUUUCCCAAGUAAGAUCUUGCAACUUUCUUUGAAUGGAACAAAUGCAGACUGCUUAGAAGGGCGGGCGCCCCUCAAGAAGAUGGUAAUUGAUUGCGCAAUGGGUGUCACGCUAACUAAAUCAGUGGCAUUUCAAAUGGAAGGAACAACGUUCCAGCUGCCUCUGGCACGCCCAAUCUGGUUUUGUCUACAUCUUCUCCACAGAUGCAAGAAAGGGCGAGCAUGAUGAUCAAUUUCUUAAAAGGUCAGCUGUUCUAUCUCAAGUCUGGAAGGAGGAUCUUAAUUCUGGAAAUUUGUUAAAAUCUAUGUUAGAUUUGUUUGAUGAAAGUAUCUUCUGCUUCAUUCGUGCUUCUGAAAUGUAACGGUCCAAGUUCAUCGCUAGCCAAUAUUGUUUUCUUUGGGCUUU